rfam:Ciona savignyi cont_8604, whole genome shotgun sequence.
AGCAGGCUCACUAAUAUUUUUAUUCCUUCCAGCAGGCUGGGGUAUUCAUUCAAUCUAAUCACUAAAUUUCCCAGAACGUUUACUAUGUAAAAAAUUAGAGUGUUCAAAGCAGGCUCUUCAGUCUGGAUAAUGGUGCAUGAAUUUGAAAUAGGACAACGGUUCUAUUUUGUUGGUUUUCGGAGCGCGAGGUAAUGAUUAAGAGGGACAGGCAGGGCAUUCGUACUUUGCCGUUAGAGGUGAAAUUCUUGGAUCGGCGUAAGACGAACAACUGCGAAAGCAUUUGCCAAGAUUUUUCUUUAAUCAAGAGCAAAAGUUUUCUUUAAUCAAGA